GGUGGUCAUAAUGUGCUGUCAAAUCUUGAUUGAAAAAGACGACCGGCGGUGGAGAGGUCUUGGCCCAAAAAAUCCGGCCAGGGCUACAAAGGGGGUGGCUCCAGAAUUAAUUUUAAGACUCAAUCUCCAGACCAAAACCUGAUCAAAAACUUGUGAAAGGGGCUUGUGCUGAGCAACAGCAUACACUU